rnacentral:rRNA from 1 species
UGCAAGUCGAGCGGAUGAAGGGAGCUUGCUCCUGGAUUCAGCGGCGGACGGGUGAGUAGUGCCUAGGAAUCUGCCUGGUAGUGGGGGAUAACGUCCGGAAACGGGCGCUAAUACCGCAUACGUCCUGAGGGAGAAAGUGGGGGAUCUUCGGACCUCACGCUAUCAGAUGAGCCUAGGUCGGAUUAGCUAGUUGGUGGGGUAAAGGCCUACCAAGGCGACGAUCCGUAACUGGUCUGAGAGGAUGAUCAGUCACACUGGAACUGAGACACGGUCCAGACUCCUACGGGAGGCAGCAGUGGGGAAUAUUGGACAAUGGGCGAAAGCCUGAUCCAGCCAUGCCGCGUGUGUGAAGAAGGUCUUCGGAUUGUAAAGCACUUUAAGUUGGGAGGAAGGGCAGUAAGUUAAUACCUUGCUGUUUUGACGUUACCAACAGAAUAAGCACCGGCUAACUUCGUGCCAGCAGCCACGGUAAUACGAAGGGUGCAAGCGUUAAUCGGAAUUACUGGGCGUAAAGCGCGCGUAGGUGGUUCAGCAAGUUGGAUGUGAAAUCCCCGGGCUCAACCUGGGAACUGCAUCCAAAACUACUGAGCUAGAGUACGGUAGAGGGUGGUGGAAUUUCCUGUGUAGCGGUGAAAUGCGUAGAUAUAGGAAGGAACACCAGUGGCGAAGGCGACCACAUGGACUGAUACUGACACUGA